GCACUGCGAACGCAUACUCCUACUAUCAAGGAAGUAUACAUACCGCGAGCCAACGCGAAACAAGCGUAGGAAAUGGGAAAAAGGAAUAAGAUAAAGAAAGAGCAACGAGUGAUACGUUCGCUGCGUGUUGAGUGGCGCUCUAUGAAUACACACGUCUGUAUAUAUAUACAUCUGGAUUUCCCCUUAAUUUGCAAGAGGUGGCGCCACUGCAAAUAAAUAGCUGCGAUAACGGAUUGAUAUUGAUUUAGGAACUUAAGUGUCAAUUUCUUUCUAUUUAUAAUGCAAUUCAUUGCUCUUGUAUCGUGAACUUUGAACAUUCGUGCUUGACAAAAAGAAUAAAUCUAAUCUUCGUGAUUGGCAAUAUUGUCUGGCGGGUGUAUUCUACCUAUUAUAUUCUAACCAUAGAUUUCUCUAAAAAAUCGAUUUCUCGAUUUACGCUGACAACAAAUUAUUUUUCUAUGGUGUCUAUUUCAUUUACGAUAUAUUAACAAGUCGUAAGUUCUUAUUUGAUUUUAUUAAUUCUAAAUACGUUGUUUUAAUGCUGAUCAGUUUUAGUUGACUUGUGGGAAGCACAACCAUAAGCACUAACCUUACUCGCAUAACACUGACUACGAUUAAAAAUGAAGUUUUGCUUCGUUCGAAAAGAAGAGAUUGCUUUAGAGUAAAAUACAAACAGUAAUAACGAAUAUGAAAAAUUUAUUCUGAUCUUUUCAUUAUUUUCUCGUGCAACUUACACUGACGUUUUUCUUAAAUAUCCUUUAUUUUUUUGAACCGGAAGACUCCAUUUAUGUGAUCUACAUGUAAGAAACUACGUUAGAGUAUCUGCACUUAGGAAAAGGACCGCGAUGUCCAGGAAUUGUCGGAACAAAGCGCAUCGCAUUAUUAAAAGCACGAUCGAAACCCGAAGAUGAGUUGUUCGCAGGCCAAAGUGAUUAUAACUCCAUUCAACAAAUCUUGUGCAAUUUUAUUGCUAAAGCAAUUUGUUCGAUUGACGCUUGUUUCGCAUGAUUCUAUCAAUUUUCUCCACUUUCUGUCUCAUGAAGUCAGUUGAUUUAACAAAUCAGCAGCCAUAUAUCAAAAGGUAGAGACUUUACACAAAGUAAUCGAAGUCGUGUACGGCCGGAGAACAAGUUGAGUAGAAAGAGCGAAGCGAAGGGUUGAUGUAGCCAGGAAGAAAUUCCUGGUAUCGGGCCGUGUGCGCGGCGGACUUUGACGAUCCCUUAAGUGAAAUAUCAUCGACAAUCACUCACGUGAGAUCUUUAUCGGCUGGUAACGUGAUCUCUGACCCCACCAAACUCGGGAGCAGUUUUAUGCGAGCUCCCGCGGCGCGUGAAUAUACACCCGGUGGGUGCUGUUGCUCCGUGAAGGAAGAAGACCUGGUGAGAUCGCUGGAAGAUCGAAGCAGGAAUGUAACGCGGUCCGUGGGCUUCGGGAUGGCUGGAAUCACAGAAAAGUAUUCGGUCGGGUUCGCGUGGAAGCCACGGCACGGCGUUCCGCACGCAGGAACGCGACUGCCAAUAAAUAAGCUUCGGCAUUUCGCGCGCGAUUCGCGCGUCUUAUCGAGCCACUCGGCCCGCUGCUGAGGAUGGGGCUACUUCCGAUCCAGUCGAUCGAAUCGAUGCUCCUUAUCUGCGUACACAGCAGCUCUGGUGGAGAGCUCUUUCGCUCGAGAAACAAAAACAACCUAACCCUUUGGGAAUUAUGCGAGAACGUCGUACGUUUGUUCGUUGCACGAACUUGAGUGUCGAGAGCGAGUAAAUUGAUGAUACACCGGUAAAGAAAGCUGUAUCGGUAUUUUGCAUAUUGUCGCGGUGGAUAUUUGUUCUUUUAAGGAGAAGGAGAAGUAGCUGUUGGAAGUAGGAAAAAUUGAAUUGUAUAAAAAUGCAUGCGCUUUAGCCUUGGUAAAUAUAGCGCGCGUUGUUUCAAAUAAUUGCAAUAGCAUUUAUUUAGACAAUCGUAUCGUUCUAUGGAGUACUUGAGUAAAUUAGAAUUUAUUAAUAAAUCAAUUAGAAUAUCAUCUUAAAAAUGCUAUAUUUUAGUUAAUUGAAGGAGUAUAUUAUAAUACGCCACGUAUGAAUGAAAUGCGUUAAUUGAAAAAGUUAUUUUGCUGCUACUGGACUAUCUUAUACAAAUUGAUGCAUUUAUGUUUAUGGAAGAUAUUCUGUUAUCGUAACGCUAACAUGACGUAAGGUAAGAAACGUAGAGACAUUACAAUUAUCCAAACUAUAGGAAAAUAUGAAGGAAGAAACUUACUUAGUUAUGCUACCUAAUAUAGGGUAAAUGUAAAACAUGUAGAAAUUAAUUGUAUAUACAGAGAAACCAUCGUAUGGAAAAUGGAAAUUUCAGUAGGAGAAGAAAAAAUACAUAUUCCAAGGAAAGUAGGAAGAGUAUGACACAGAGAAUAGCCUAGAAUACUUUAUGAAAGAAAAGUAUAAAGAGAUAGUGAUUAUCAUAUAACAAAUCAUUAAAGAAUACAAAUGUUGGCUAUAUUUUAUAGUAAAUAAGAGACAGAAUAGAAAUUGUAGAAAAUGCUCUACAAAUAUACUUACAUUAUAAAUCUAAAAUAAAUGUAUCGGGAUCUUAAGAACACUCUCACAAUAAAAGACGGUAUAACGUAUACAUAAUUAUUAUGUCUAUUAAAUAAAAAAUGUGUAAAAAGAAUAUUACAAAAGCAAUAACAGGAUUCUUACUUGUAUUACUAUACGCAUAAUUGUAAAAUUCAAAAUUUUUAUCGAAACACGUACAAGCAGAAAUACAAGUGGAAUAACAGUAGCAUGCCACGUUUUACAAUAUUUUUUAUUUCAUUUCACUUAAUCAUUGAUAGAAGACUUUUCGUAAAGAAACCACGCAUAAGAACGUUUGAAGCCAAGAUUACAGUGUUUCUCCUUUUUUCGUAAAGGAAACGGACCGACGUUUCUGGAAAGACUCCGGCACGUUUCGAAAGAUGAUAAUUACGCUUUUACGGUACACGGCCAAAUCUACAUUGUGUCUAGGAGGCGAGUUCUCUCGCGGUAAGACGUAGGAAAUCGCGCAAUACUUUUAGGCUCCCCGGUACACACGUUGCGAAAAAGUGAAAUGUAUUGUACCAUUGCGUUUCCAUUGUUGUGUUCAGAGGAGACGUAAAACGGGGCAAGGUUGAACCUCUGAUUGCCUGAAAAACUGCCACAUCGUACGAACUAGUCCCGAAUUUUUUAAAUCUUACUUUAAUUUACACGUUCUCAUAGCUCGCCACCCUUGAUCUUUACAUCUGAAUCUCUUCCACUCGAUCGAACAUCGACAUAUCAGAAAAUUGGAAAUUUUGGUAGAACUUCGAAUGGACAAAAUUGCGUUAGAAUAUUUAAUCAAUCGUUGAAACGAAUGAAAACUUGUAUCUUAUUAACGAUUGCUGGCUACUGGUGAUAUAAAUACAUGACGAUCUGUGUCUUUACCAUUGAUUAUAAAUUAUCACGAUCAUUCAUUCUCUAUAUUUAUUUCGUAAUUGUACAAGAAAUUUCUUUUAUCGUAGUCGAUGUUCGGGUUCCUAUUUGGACACGAGAAGAAGCAAGAUCGCCUCAAUACGAAUGAAGAUUAUCAAUCCAAGAAGCGCAGGAAAAACUCGUGGAGUUACCGAUUAAAAAGCGAAUCAAAUCACGUCACGUGGAAAUACCAAUUCACGACUCGAGUCGAAUUAACGCCGAUGAUCUCUUCAAACAUGGAAGUAUACCAUUAUAAUAACAAGCUGGUGCAUACGUGUACAAGAUUACGCAAUCGUUGGCAUCUGCAGCCACCUCGAGACUAUCAAUAGUGGGACGUUUGCCAGGAACACAAGGAACAGGUAGGAUCGAUGGUUGAAUUACACCGAUGAAAUGAAAAGGGAAGAUGGUCCGUGGCGAUAAAAUUACGCGUACGAAUAAAGAGUGAAGCGAUCGCGUGGUGAGGUGGUUCCAAAAUGACUGGCAGAAGCGUCUGAAUGGGUUCUGGUUGUCCGGACGUGGUCGAUCCAUGGCAUUCCACCAGAGCCGGUGCUCACGGUGACGAGCAAAAGAGCAACGACGCGUUUCCCAUUGUGAAAAGCUGCGUGGUACGGUUGUGUUUCCUCGAGGAGGGGCCCGGGGGAUCUCUGACCUCCCGUCUCCCUUUAUACGUCUGCUUUAAUUACGUUUGUCAUUUCGUGGCUGGUGUCUCAUUACGAAGAAAGUUCGAGGUUUAACUCGGCUGCUUGCGAACCUAGGUGGCCUCUUUCUGGUAACGGCACUAACCAACCCAACCAGACAGCCAACAACAACAACGACGAAGGAAGGAAGGAACGAAGGAACGAAGGAACGAACCGACCGACCGACCAACCAGUCAUGAGCCCCCUUUUACCUUACGUAUAGCCCUCCGCGUGCCUCUCUUCGCAUCGCCGCUCUAGAUCUUCGGAUAAGAGCGAACACCAUUUUAGCGGUUCCUUACACACCAGACAUCCGUUCCCUUCCUAUAUAUACGUGGCUACGGGAGAGCUCGUUGCAUUUUCUCCGCGCGAAUGUGUCAAGCGACUGGGAAACAGACAGAGACGGAGAAGGCGGAUCGUGGAAGGCGGGUGGAAAGGGAGGGAGGGAGGGAGAGAUGGCGGGCAGAAAAGGACAAAGAGGUCGAAUGGAACGGGAAAGGAAGAGAGGAAUCGGGGAGUAAGAUAUAGGCGCGAGAGGAAGAGAGAGAGAGAGAGAGAGAGACAGGUGAAACCGGAGGGAGAAUCGUGGUGGUGGAGCGAGAAAGACAGAAAGAUAUGGGCAUGUCAGCCGAAACCUUCUAAUCCCACGUACAGGUGCUUAAUUCGUUACGUGAGAGCGGAGGAAGCAGAAAACGGGAUACUGUACCGUUUUCCGUGAUAACGAAUAAGGGUUUCGUCGUCUUCCUCUCUUUCGCUGCCUCCUGCUUCUCCGUUGCUCUUCAACCGUGUAAUUAAACAUCGUGUCAAGUAUUUGCUACGAAGCGACAACGUUCAAGAUACACGGCUGCUACGAAAAAAUAGAAGAUGGACGCCGUAAAGCGUAAGAGACUUGAAUGCUUCGCGUCGAUCUUUAUGACGUAGUAUGUUUUUACGACGGAGCCUCGAACGAACACGGAACUUUGAUAGUUGUCUUAGGUGGAUAUCGGACGGAGACGUGGGGAACGGGUCACAUCCGGGUUAACGUAAUUACAAAUUAAUUUCGUUUUAUUAAGUAGCUCGCGGUCGAGCAACGCACGUACGCGCCGGCUUAUCUUCGCCGCUCGCGGACGAGAAGCACCGUAUUCGGGUUAACUCUGCAUUUAAUUGGUGGCUUAACCGUAUAUCCACGGUUUAUUCGGUACACCGUGAGAAAAAAGAUAUUAAUUUUUCACGAGUAACUAGAAUUCCCGCAAGAAUUUGCACUUUAUGGAAACACGGACAGAUGAAGAUAACGCCGGUAAUUGCGUAGUGCCGCGGUGGCGGAGAGGAUUAUUCGAAAUGGUUUACUUCGUAAAAUAUGGUAUACCGUGGAUCGUUGCCUCCGAAUACUUCAGUGACCCACAGGUGUGUACGAAUGGAACUGCCUUCCAGUAACUGUAUCAAAACUUAUGAAUAUUCAUGGCCGAUCAUAUUUCUUAUUAAUUAUCUGCUGUUACUAUGAUUAUAUUACAGAUAAUAUCGUACAGAUCUCACGUUGAUAGUAACAAUAUUCGGUUUUCGUCGAAUAUCGUGGUCAUUGAUGUUUAGCUACAUGUUACUAUUUAUUAUAACAUAUCAAAUAUUAUAUGUAAUACGAUUAUACCGCACGCUCUAAACACAAUUCACCAAUUUCAAUAAUUCUUGAUGCUGUCAUAGUCUUUUCAUAAACAAAGAAGAUUCUACGUAUGUAUGGAAUGGCUUCAUUGUUAAACAUAUUCGCGGUGAAUUAUAAUCAUCAUUCACUCCUAUUCUUCCUUUAAAUAUGCAUAAUCACAACGAUGCUCUGUUUAAGCUAAAUUUAGAUGGUAUUAAUUUUAAAUAGCACAUCGUCGAAUCAAUCUUAACAAACGUUAUUGUUCGACGAAUAAACGUCUAUAGUAACUUUUCAAGGAAUAAAUUAAUACUCGCAUAAAAUUAUUCAUCGCAAGAAGAUGACAUAAAUAAUCAUAAAUUUCAAGAUUGACACUAAAAAAUUAUGUAUCAUUAUCACUUUCUUUUGCUCCUCGUUUAAUAGAUUUAAUUAAGAAAUCGCGACUUUCUAUAUAAAUUCGUAUUUCUACGAGUACAGCUGAAAGGAUCUAACCGAAGUAAAGAUUUCUUCCAUCCUCUGUAUAUUACGUCAGGAUUUUACUUUGGAAAUUUGAUAUAUUUUCGCGUAUUACGUGUCAUCUUUUACAUUUACUAAUAAAUGCAUAAAGAUUCACUAAUAUAUCUCGCGAGUGAUUCGCGUAAAACGUCGGAAUUUUUCUAAUUGUAAGUUCGUGCUGAGAAAAGCCAAUCGCGAUUUGCGUACGAAUCGCCAGGUCGGUUAGUUGAUCGUACAUAAAAUCUGGCUUUGCACUCUGAUAAGGGAUCCCCGUUUACGUGUGCGUCUCUUCGACUCGAGCACACGCAAAUGUGCAAGGUUUCCCCGUCGUGUAUCGCGCUUCUUUUUCCUUCUUUCGCUGUUUGCACGCUUCUAUCGGUUCUCUCCCUCUCUUUUUCUCUCUGUGCUCUCGUCUAAGCGUGUACACGCGCACGCAGAUGCCGCGUGUCGAUGUGGGUAGGGUUAUUAGCCCAGAAAGCAAGGCCCCUGCUUCCGGUGUAGGCACUUUAGUUCGAGAGUUUCUUAACCCCUUCUUACACGACUCCUCGCUGGCCUGGCCUGGCCUAAGACUCUGCCCCGGCCUGGCCUGUUGUCGGUUGCGGGUGGUAGAACGCCUCGUCGAGAACCGACUCUUCGGUCCACCACGAAACUCUCUCUACUUGCAUUCGUGUAGACCGCGUACGAACGUGCGCGGAUCGUAGGGUAGGUAGGUCGGCUCGGUGGCGAACCAAGCGAUUUUUCCCGUGAUCUAAGCUGCACCUUACCGAGAACGAUCGUAAAUUUCGCGAAACGGAGAGCACGACUCUGACUCGCGACCUUGCUUAUCGUAAGCUACUAUGAUACCGGUUCAUGUUUCGCCAUGUCGCUUUGGGAUGGUCCGUUAAUAUAUAAGCGGCUCGCAGGUCAAAGUGGUUAACUCCAAUUUUUGAGAUGUUUGAAAUUUUAGUGCCGAUACAUUUGUUGCGUGUGAUCGAUGCUUAUCUAAUAUAAUCACACGGAUAUUUUCUACUUUUUGUUUCGUGGAAUUCAUCGAUUUAGCGAACAAGCAGCGCAUAUAGGGCGGUGGAAGAAAGAAUUUAGGAGUUUAUAGUUUUCAUCCGACAGAUUAAAAGAUAUUUAAUUAACCAUUUACUUUUAUAUUUAGAAAAGUUCAAUAUCGUGUCUUUGUAACGUUAAACGUAGAAUAAAAACAUAGCUCUGAGCUUUCUUUAUGGGAACACAUACAUUUAAAGACCUCAGUCCAUUUAUCAAUGACAGAAAAUUCAUUCGUAAGUGUCAAUUUAAUAUUGAAACACAUUGAAUAUUCUUUGCAAACGCAGAAACAAAACUUUUUGUUUUAUAUUGAAACUUUUAUGACCUGUAUUAAGCUUUUCUCCUUUGUUUCAAUUCUUUUUUUUUUAUUUGAACGAUCUCCACCGUAACUAAUCUCAAGCGUAAUCUAAUAAAUUUAAAGUAUUUUGAAGAGGAUCAAGAAGAAAGGAAAGCUUUCGAUAUUUAUUUUUCCAACGAUAUAAUUUGGUAGCUUUUAGUUUGCAAUGCCAUUAAUUUUUAAUCGAGUCUAGUAUCUAAGCUAGAAACAUCGACUAAAGAAUCUGUAGCUCUGUUCUCUCAACGUCAAUUUUAUUGCGCGUAUAGCGAUUAAUAAUUCGUUAUUUCCUCGUCGAGGAAAACAUUCGUUGAUAGGUUAAUAGACAUAAAAAAUGAACCGGCUGGUGUAAAAUGGCAGAGAGAUACGAGCCUCAACGAUGAUAGAUAUGGUUUCACCGGUCGUAAUUGUUUUGCGUUCGUUCUUAAUUGGGGCUACUUGUUCGUUACGUCUCUUCAGAAUAGGCAAGAGGGUAUGAAGUUUUAAUAAAUGCUUUUGGCUGGACUGUUAAGACACGCUCCGCGGGGAAAAGGGCGGAAAAUCUCCAAUUCGUUAGUCAGCAUGUACCCAGAUCGUUAAUAACAUACGCGGAAACGAAGAAUAAUAGAAUCAUCUUGAACUCACAAAACGGUUGUAAAGAUAAAAGUUAUUCUGUGCUCCCUGUAACGCUGAUUUCAUUUCGCUGGUAUUCCACGUUAAUACCGUCUCUAAAAUUAGAUCUUUCUAUCCAAUAUAUCAAAACUUCGAGAAUUAAUAUUAAACAUUCGCCACAACUAUUCUUCUUCGGUCAAACAAUCAUUUCAUCUCAUCUUUAUUUUGUUUCUGAAAGUUUCCAAUUUCGUUCUUUGUUUCUUAAAUUGAUUAUUCAGAAUUGUGCCAGCCAUUGUAACAGGUUAUUAGCGGCACAGUAGGAACCACAAGUUGAGUUAUGGUUAUAUCUUUUGGAAAAGAUUGGUUUGAUUUUAAGAAUUUUACCAGUCGCUUUUAUCUUGUUUCUUGAAGGACUUCUCAGUCGUUAAAUUUCAUACGAAUAUUCGCCAUCGUUAACCGAUUUUUAUCUAAUAUCUGAAUCUAAUAUCAGCGACUCGCACGCAAAUACAGUAGCUACAGAAAUACCUGCACAUUUGUACACAUCCUUAUUUUCUAACGAACCGUUUUUUAUAUCACCUUCUACGUUUACUGUUCCACGAAUUCAGGUUUUUCAUUUUCAUAAUACAUAUCAAAUAUGUGCAGUCGUAAGAAAGUAUCUGCCUACAUACCGAACGAUAAGAAAUUUAUUAUACUCGAAGCUAAUUAAUUCGCAAGAAACACAACGGUAUGUCAAUAAUUUUUGUGGCCAGAGUCGAAAUAAGGUACUUUGUUAGAAAAAUUGAAGAAAAUUCGUAAAUCAACGUAUACUUACACUGUGUUUUCACGAAUUUGUUCGCAGGUUCGUUCGAUAGGCAGACUUUCCUCGCCUGGCGUUCAGACCUUCGGUGAUUUGUGGGUCAGAUAGCAAUUAGAAUAAGACGAUUGAAUUGGUAUAGCGAGCAGACGGCAAAGGUGGUCGGUUCGCUUUCGAAAGUGAUGACCCCGGGAGCGGUAAAGAUGCGUGCAGGUGCUUCCUCCUUGGAAAGCAUUUUAUACGUAUGGAACAACACUAAUGCGAUGGAGAUUAGCUUACCUGGGUUCCCAUGAACUAUUUUUGAGCUUAAUCGUUUGCGCUGAUCUGCUGUUAUACGCUGUGUACGUACGCCGAGCUAGGUUGUAACAGAUAAUUACUCCCGCGGCUAGGAAGGGGAUAGACGUUCCUGGAUCGCUAAUGAGCUUCUGGAAUAUUAUCGAUGCUCACGGCAGCGCUUAUAACUGCUUUUCAACUGAGAUUGUAAAUUUUCCGUUGUUCACUGACUUCGAGGGAAAGAUGCGCCGAUUAUGCACACUGGAAUAUAAUGGCGUUUUAAAACUGCCCGCCUGCCUGACUGCGCGUGGACUAGCCAACAGAUUGAACGAAGAGACCGACGUACGUACAUAUUCAGAAAUGCUAAGAUAUUCGGAUAAUUGCUUCCUACGGAAUACAGUUGAUAGAUGUAUAAUUCGUAGUGGCAUAGAAACGUGUAUUUUCAUGGUUUCAUUCUUUCGCGAACGAUUCCUUAAGAAACACGGAGAUCUUGACACGAAGAGUUCCUGAAAAUUUUGAUAUCGUAAAGUUAGUAGAUUGUAACGGGUAACACGUUUCUCUGAACGCGUCAGAUUUUUUACCUGUGUCAUGUUGGACAGAUACAUACGAACCAUGUUUCUCUUUUACAUCGCAGUUCUUUCAAAACAUCGUACAAUCUAGUGAAAAUAUGUAGCUUCCAAUUAUGCAAUAUACAUGUUUCAUUUAAGGAUAAUUUAAUUUAAGGAAAUAAUUCUAAAGCUAUACACCUUUGAAACGUUUAAAUUAGUUUCAUUGCUUCGGAUUUGUAAGAACUACCGGCGCGACAAUUCUUCAAAUCAAAUUAUUACAGUAUCUUCAUUUAUUACCUAUUAUAGUUUUCUCGUUUUUUGUUUCUUCGCGUGUCGAAAAAUUGUUUAGGAGAAUAGAAAAUGUUGUCAACUCUUCGCAAGCGACGAACAUACGUUUCCAGUGAUCUAAAUCCGAAUCUAAAUCCAUAGAAGAACAGUGUGCAAUUAUUCUGAUUAUUCACGAUACCAACCAAUCAGCAAUACCAAGGUAUUAAUAUUCUUCGAAAGUCAUCAUUUUUCAAAGAGAUCGAGUCAGACGUUCCGGCGAUUUUUCAAUUUCUUCGUCGCUUCGUCGCUGGUCACGCGUCAUGAUUUUCUCGGGACACAGGUGAAGGAUCCGUAAGUCGCUUCUCCAGUUUUUCGUCUCCUUUACCAUCGUUUUUCUCUCCUUACCUUUUUUAACUGUUCAGUCCUUAUCGAAUGGUAGCGAGGUUGUGUGUGUGUGUGUGCGCGCGCGCACAUUAUUAAAAUAGUUUUGCAGAACGCGAUUUAAUCGCGAAAUUACGAAAAAUUACCGGCAAGGUAAUAAUACGUGACCGCAUAAUGAAUUUAAAGUGACUCGUAACACGAUGUUGAGUCCUCGGCGAACCACCUGUUCGACGGUGCACGUUACGUGGGUGGAAAUACAUUAUCUCGGUCUUCGUUCGACUUUACGUUAUUCACGAAUAAACGAUGAACUCUGUGGAAUUUGCAAUUUGAAACAUUUCUUAUCAGGUCGUGGCGUAUCCGAAAGAUGCGAUUUGUAACUGUUAAACAAAAUGCGAAUUCUGCGUUGGUUAAGAUUUACAUUUUACACGAAAGCAACAUAAAAGCUGAGCGAUUAGAUGAACUAAUAAGUUAAUAAAAUAAUUCGAAUUUUAAUUGAUAUAUAGAUAUACAAUCUUUGCAUCUAAAUGUCUUACAAUUACAAAUAAUAUCAGUGUGUUCAAGAUACAGAGAUUUCUCACAAUUUUUACAAAAAUUUACAUAUAUAUUGUUUAUUUGCUGCACCAAUAUCAUAACUUAAAGGUAUUCAGUUUAGAGAAUACGAAUUUGAAUAUUUUAGGCAAAUAGGAUAUGCAAGUUUCGAGUUGAUAAUAUGUUUGUAUUUUUUUUUAUUUAAAGAUGUUUAUUAAACCCAAGAUACAAUUUUAAAUACAUUUUGGUAUUCAUAAUAAACGGUAAAUUUUUGUAGUGAUGUUUUAGGCAAAAGUACCGAUACGCAACGGUACGACGUAGCCAUGCUAUAAUAUGUGUCGGCGCUUUACAUUUUUCGUGUUUAAUAUAUCUCUGGUUUCGAAUGACGAACGUACAAAGAGAUUUGGAUAUAUCAGUUUGGAUAUACUUCGUGUGAAUAUUUUAUGAAUAUCUUAUACGUGCAAUCGCAAUUGAUGCAGGAAGAUAAAAAAAUUCCAAGAAUCGUUAGACGGAUGUUCCGUGCCCUUUAGUUCGAUUCAUAGCUUGAUCGUACCAGGCAGAAUUACACUCUAGAAAUUCUGUAUUCAUCAACUGUCUAAUGGCGGUAAUUUUUAUGCGAUGAAUUAACGCACGCUGUUUGCUGCAAUAAAUUAUUGAGAUUUAUUAUGUCUGAUGUGUAUGAUUCAUUCCAAACAGAGCUCCUGUGAUCCCGUAGAAAUUUUCAUGCCAUAAUUCACAUAGUCUGCGUUUAUUUUCCGUGUGUACCUUGGAAACCAUAGUACAGGCUCAUUCAGUUGUUUGAUUGCAACAAGCAUGACGAAUUUUUGAAGUCUUUUAGAUCUGAUAAAACAUAUACUUCAAGCAACUGUAUUCAAAAAUACGAAACAAAGAAGGAAUGCGAUCAUUUUGAAAUUUCUACAUUUUUAUGAAUAUCCUCUAUUGGUUUCUAAUAUUUUGAUAUCAUUCAAACUUCAAGUUCAAACACUUCAAAAAAUAUCCUUUAAAUGAUAUUAUUUGAAUGAAUUCUUCAGAUGAUAUUCUACAAACUAAAAAUGACAUUUUGUGAAAUAAAUCUUCUAACUACAAUAAUAAAUAAACUACAAUAAUAUAAUAAAGCAUUUUUCAAGCAACUUGAUUACGGAAUAUGUUUCUCCAAUUUUCGAGACAAUGGAAUCAUCGGCAAUAGCUUUCUUAGUAUUCGAUCUUGCGUAAUAGAAAACAUUGAACCGGGAUGCCUUGACGAACUCGAAAAAAUUACAUGGCGAAAACUAUUGCAACGUCGGAAGUGGCAAUGCCCGGGAAGCGUACGGUUCUCAAAGGGUUAAUUGGGCAUAGUAACUCUUCAGGUGACCAAGCUCCAUGGGAGUGGAACGGAGAAAACCCAGUUUUAUGCCUUGCAUUAAGCUCUUAUGUCUAUAUCUUUAUGUUGUAUCUGCUAAUUUAUAAAUAUGUAAUCACGCAUCUACGACCCCCUCGCUAUGGUAUUACCUUAAAUGCUUUUUUUACAGAUACGUUAUCGCGAACAUAUUUAUGCAAUGAGCAGGGGAAUACCAUUGUCGCGGAAACGAAAUAAAUGUUAUGUAAUAAGGAUGAGUGGCAGGCUUAAUUGUUACUACACCUAUAUCGUAUAUAAUUGUAUUUUACGUAUCGUUAAAACUUUAUUAUCUUGUCGACAAAUAAUUAAUCCCGCGUUGAUGUUGAAUUAAUUAAACGGCUUUCUAUAAUAAUAAGGUAGUAUAGUUAUUUUUCGAAUGACGUUAGAUUAAAGCGAAUGUUUCUUAU